ACGUUUAAAUUAUAUUAACCUUUGCUUGUUGAUUUCAGACGUUUUGAGCUCGUUGACCCAGUUAACGUGUUGGCUCGUCGCAGUUUAUUUUUUGAAGAUCCAGGGUCUGCACGGAGUGGGAAAAUACCAUUAGUGAAAGAACUCAACACAGCAAAUUACCAAAAAAACGGCGUGUUACACCAUUGGCGCAUAUUCUUAAACGCUCCGGCCUGGCAGGGUCGCAGUGCGUACUUGGAGCUGUCAGACACCACGGAGGUGCUGAGAUGGCUUCUUUGUGUGAAAAAACAACGGGGUCUGCUACUCUACAAAGUGAAGAGGUAGGCGGCUAAAAUAUUUUUUCUGAUCGUGGAUUUGUUUUAUCGGUGCUUAGUGUAUGUCGUUUUAAUACUUGGUCUUCUCUGCACCCUGUGACAGCGGCGGGGGUGUGAGUUCAGCUGGGGUACCAGAUGUUGAAGAACUGCCAGGUGCUAGCGAUGAUACCACGCUACAAAUGGUAAAUAUUAACGAACAAUCUUAGCUCAAAAGUGCGUUAAAUGCUUGAUAUUUUAGGUACAAAGCAUGUCUAUUUUGUUAAGCCUUCCUUUUCUUUUUCCUUUAAUAGAAUAAAGAGGAUGUGGACGGGUCAAUCUUCAGCCUACCGGCACAAGUGAAUGUCUCGUGUCUAUGCUUGUGUGUUCGCCCAAAUGUUAAUAAAGCUGAUGCCUAUGUCCCUAAUGAGCCCUAUGUUAUGCCCCAGAUUGUGAAAGCAGUAGUUUAUUGCAUCUUCAAACACUGUUUAAAGGGGGUCCUGGUUGAUGACUGCCCGGCCUGUUUGAUUGACCAUCCUGGGCAGCAGGGUCACACAUGCCUGUCUGGCGGCUACA
rnacentral:lncRNA from 1 species